AUUAAAUAUAAAAAAAGAAGAUGUGGUAUGAUUGCCAAUGAGACAACUAUCCACAAAAGACCAAAAUGACACAAACAUUAACAAUUAUAGGUCACCGUACGGCCUUCAACAAUGAGCAAAGCCCAUACCGCACAGUCAGCUAUAAAAGGCCCCGAUAAGACAAUGUAAAACAAUUCAAACUUGAAAACUAACGGCCUUAUUUAUGUAAAAAAAAUGAACGAAAAACAAAUAUGUAACACAUAAACAAACGAC
rnacentral:lncRNA from 1 species